rnacentral:rRNA from 1 species
AUGGGCCCAAGACGAGGAUAUCACGGCAGGAAGUGCAAGGUUAACUGGCGGACAGUCACGUCACCGGUCGACCGCGGCGGUCUCGGGAUCCCGGACAUCGAGCGAUUCACGCACGCACUCCAGCUCCGCUGGCUCUGGCUGGCAUGGACUGACCCAACACGGUCGUGGGUGGGCACAUGAUUACCAUGCGAUGACAAAGACCGGGCUCUCUUCGCCUCUGCCACAAAGGUGGAGGUGGGCGACGGGAACCGGGCCCUCUUCUGGCACUGCCCAUGGCUGGGCGAGCUGCCGCUCUACCGGGCCUUUCCGCUGCUGUUCGGCCGCUCCGUCAGGAAAAACCGCACGGCGGCGGAGGCCCUGCAUGGAGACAGAUGGGUGCUCGAUCUAAGGCACGGCGACACUAUGGAAAUCACCCCCUAG